GGUUAAGCGACUAAGCGUACACGGUGGAUGCCCUGGCAGUCAGAGGCGAUGAAGGACGUGCUAAUCUGCGAUAAGCGUCGGUAAGGUGAUAUGAACCGUUAUAACCGGCGAUUUCCGAAUGGGGAAACCCAGUGUGUUUCGACACACUAUCAUUAACUGAAUCCAUAGGUUAAUGAGGCGAACCGGGGGAACUGAAACAUCUAAGUACCCCGAGGAAAAGAAAUCAACCGAGAUUCCCCCAGUAGCGGCGAGCGAACGGGGAGCAGCCCAGAGCCUGAAUCAGUGUGUGUGUUAGUGGAAGCGUCUGGAAAGGCGCGCGAUACAGGGUGACAGCCCCGUACACAAAAAUGCACAUACUGUGAGCUCGAUGAGUAGGGCGGGACACGUGGUAUCCUGUCUGAAUAUGGGGGGACCAUCCUCCAAGGCUAAAUACUCCUGACUGACCGAUAGUGAACCAGUACCGUGAGGGAAAGGCGAAAAGAACCCCGGCGAGGGGAGUGAAAAAGAACCUGAAACCGUGUACGUACAAGCAGUGGGAGCACGCUUAGGCGUGUGACUGCGUACCUUUUGUAUAAUGGGUCAGCGACUUAUAUUCUGUAGCAAGGUUAACCGAAUAGGGGAGCCGAAGGGAAACCGAGUCUUAACUGGGCGUUAAGUUGCAGGGUAUAGACCCGAAACCCGGUGAUCUAGCCAUGGGCAGGUUGAAGGUUGGGUAACACUAACUGGAGGACCGAACCGACUAAUGUUGAAAAAUUAGCGGAUGACUUGUGGCUGGGGGUGAAAGGCCAAUCAAACCGGGAGAUAGCUGGUUCUCCCCGAAAGCUAUUUAGGUAGCGCCUCGUGAAUUCAUCUCCGGGGGUAGAGCACUGUUUCGGCAAGGGGGUCAUCCCGACUUACCAACCCGAUGCAAACUGCGAAUACCGGAGAAUGUUAUCACGGGAGACACACGGCGGGUGCUAACGUCCGUCGUGAAGAGGGAAACAACCCAGACCGCCAGCUAAGGUCCCAAAGUCAUGGUUAAGUGGGAAACGAUGUGGGAAGGCCCAGACAGCCAGGAUGUUGGCUUAGAAGCAGCCAUCAUUUAAAGAAAGCGUAAUAGCUCACUGGUCGAGUCGGCCUGCGCGGAAGAUGUAACGGGGCUAAACCAUGCACCGAAGCUGCGGCAGCGACGCUUAUGCGUUGUUGGGUAGGGGAGCGUUCUGUAAGCCUGUGAAGGUGUGCUGUGAGGCAUGCUGGAGGUAUCAGAAGUGCGAAUGCUGACAUAAGUAACGAUAAAGCGGGUGAAAAGCCCGCUCGCCGGAAGACCAAGGGUUCCUGUCCAACGUUAAUCGGGGCAGGGUGAGUCGACCCCUAAGGCGAGGCCGAAAGGCGUAGUCGAUGGGAAACAGGUUAAUAUUCCUGUACUUGGUGUUACUGCGAAGGGGGGACGGAGAAGGCUAUGUUGGCCGGGCGACGGUUGUCCCGGUUUAAGCGUGUAGGCUGGUUUUCCAGGCAAAUCCGGAAAAUCAAGGCUGAGGCGUGAUGACGAGGCACUACGGUGCUGAAGCAACAAAUGCCCUGCUUCCAGGAAAAGCCUCUAAGCAUCAGGUAACAUCAAAUCGUACCCCAAACCGACACAGGUGGUCAGGUAGAGAAUACCAAGGCGCUUGAGAGAACUCGGGUGAAGGAACUAGGCAAAAUGGUGCCGUAACUUCGGGAGAAGGCACGCUGAUAUGUAGGUGAAGUCCCUCGCGGAUGGAGCUGAAAUCAGUCGAAGAUACCAGCUGGCUGCAACUGUUUAUUAAAAACACAGCACUGUGCAAACACGAAAGUGGACGUAUACGGUGUGACGCCUGCCCGGUGCCGGAAGGUUAAUUGAUGGGGUCAGCGCAAGCGAAGCUCUUGAUCGAAGCCCCGGUAAACGGCGGCCGUAACUAUAACGGUCCUAAGGUAGCGAAAUUCCUUGUCGGGUAAGUUCCGACCUGCACGAAUGGCGUAAUGAUGGCCAGGCUGUCUCCACCCGAGACUCAGUGAAAUUGAACUCGCUGUGAAGAUGCAGUGUACCCGCGGCAAGACGGAAAGACCCCGUGAACCUUUACUAUAGCUUGACACUGAACAUUGAGCCUUGAUG
rnacentral:rRNA from 1 species